rnacentral:rRNA from 1 species
UACAGAGGGUGCAAGCGUUGUUCGGAAUUAUUGGGCGUAAAGCGCGUGUAGGCGGUCCGGUAAGUCGGCUGUGAAAGUCCAGGGCUCAACCCUGGGAUGCCGGUCGAUACUGGCCGGACUAGAGUUCGGAAGAGGCGAGUGGAAUUCCCGGUGUAGCGGUGAAACUGCGUAGAGUAUACUGGAGGAACACCGGUGGCGAAGGCGGCAUCCUGGACCAACACUGGACGCUGAGGAGCGAAAGCCAGGGGAGCAAACGGGGAUUAAGCAUACCCCAG